CCCGUGAUAGCUCAGUGGUAGAGCGGAGGACUGUAGAUCCUUAGGUCCCCGGUUCGAAUCCGGGUCGCGGGA